GAUGAACGCUGGCGGCGUGCCUAAUACAUGCAAGUCGAGCGAACAGAUGAGGAGCUUGCUCCUCUGACGUUAGCGGCGGACGGGUGAGUAACACGUGGAUAACCUACCUAUAAGACUGGGAUAACUUCGGGAAACCGGAGCUAAUACCGGAUAAUAUAUUGAACCGCAUGGUUCAAUAGUGAAAGACGGUUUUGCUGUCACUUAUAGAUGGAUCCGCGCCGCAUUAGCUAGUUGGUAAGGUAACGGCUUACCAAGGCAACGAUGCGUAGCCGACCUGAGAGGGUGAUCGGCCACACUGGACCUGAGAACCGGUCCAGACCCCUACGGGAGGCAGCAGUAGGGAAUCUUCCGCAAGGGGCGAAAGCCUGACGGAGCAACGCCGCGUGAGUGAUGAAGGUCUUCGGAUCGUAAAACUCUGUUAUUAGGGAAGAACAAAUGUGUAAGUAACUAUGCACGUCUGGACGGUACCUAAUCAGAAAGCCACGGCUAACUACGU
rnacentral:rRNA from 1 species